UGCUCCGAUCUAGUCAAGGUUGAUCCUCUAGUUCUUCACGAACGAAAAGGCGCAAACCUCAGGCCCAUUCAUCAGUCAACUUCGGUUGGCCGAAAGGGCACUGCCUAGGCUUUGAGCUAUGACCCGAAAGAUAGUGAACUAUGCUUGGCGAAGACGAAGCCCCAGGAAACUGUGGUGGAAGUCUGUAGCCGUUUUGACGUGCAAAUCAAUGGUGUCAGCUGAGCAUAGGGGCGAAAGACCAAUCGAACUAUCUAGUAGCUGGUUCCAUUCGAAGUUUCUCUCAGGAUAGCUUGCGUGACAUUAACGCUAUGAGUCUGGACUCUUCGGUACACGAAAGCGUGCUGGUAGUCCGUCCCACUUUGUCUGCAGUUGUUGAGAGUUGACGUAGCCAAGAACUUUGUCAUCUCACUCUCUAGUCGCCAGGGUAGCGUAUCAUUUGACCGUGAGCAGUUACGUCUGGUAAAGAGAAUGAGUAGAGUUAGCUCGUUGCUUUCUAUAGCAACAGCAGCGGGGCGUCCUACGCCUCGCACUAUUAUCAAACUUUAAAUGGGCGAGGUACCCGGUAUUUUCUUAAUUGCUUGAUACCGGGGCGAAACACGUCUUGGCUUUACCGUCGAGGCGAAGGUGAAUGCGUGCGCGCAAAGUGGGUCCUUUCUGGUAAGCAGAACUGAUAAUGAGGGAUGAACCUAACGCAUGUGCUAAGGGGCCAAA
rnacentral:rRNA from 1 species